GCGCAGCGAGAGGUGCUUGCACCUUUCAAGCGAGUGGCGAACGGGUGAGUAACACGUGGAUAACCUGCCUCAAGGCUGGGGAUAACAUUUGGAAACAGAUGCUAAUACCGAAUAAAACUUAGUAUCGCAUGAUAUCAAGUUAAAAGGCGCUACGGCGUCACCUAGAGAUGGAUCCGCGGUGCAUUAGUUAGUUGGUGGGGUAAAGGCUUACCAAGACGAUGAUGCAUAGCCGAGUUGAGAGACUGAUCGGCCACAUUGGGACUGAGACACGGCCCAAACUCAUACGGGAGGCUGCAGUAGGGAAUCUUCCACAAUGGGCGCAAGCCUGAUGGAGCAACGCCGCGUGUGUGAUGAAGGCUUUCGGGUCGUAAAGCACUGUUGUAUGGGAAGAAAUGCUAAAAUAGGGAAUGAUUUUAGUUUGACGGUACCAUACCAGAAAGGGACGGCUAAAUACGUGCCAGCAGCCGCGGUAAUACGUAUGUCCCGAGCGUUAUCCGGAUUUAUUGGGCGUAAAGCGAGCGCAGACGGUUGAUUAAGUCUGAUGUGAAAGCCCGGAGCUCAACUCCGGAAUGGCAUUGGAAACUGGUUAACUUGAGUGUUGUAGAGGUAAGUGGAACUCCAUGUGUAGCGGUGGAAUGCGUAGAUAUAUGGAAGAACACCAGUGGCGAAGGCGGCUUACUGGACAACAACUGACGUUGAGGCUCGAAAGUGUGGGUAGCAAACAGGAUUAGAUACCCUGGUAGUCCACACCGUAAACGAUGAAUACUAGGUGUUAGGAGGUUUCCGCCUCUUAGUGCCGAAGCUAACGCAUUAAGUAUUCCGCCUGGGGAGUACGACCGCAAGGUUGAAACUCAAAGGAAUUGACGGGGACCCGCACAAGCGGUGGAGCAUGUGGUUUAAUUCGAAGCAACGCGAAGAACCUUACCAGGUCUUGACAUCCUUUGAAGCUUUUAGAGAUAGAAGUGUUCUCUUCGGAGACAAAGUGACAGGUGGUGCAUGGUCGUCGUCAGCUCGUGUCGUGAGAUGUUGGGUUAAGUCCCGCAACGAGCGCAACCCUUAUUGUUAGUUGCCAGCAUUCAGUUGGGCACUCUAGCGAGACUGCCGGUGACAAACCGGAGGAAGGCGGGGACGACGUCAGAUCAUCAUGCCCCUUAUGACCUGGGCUACACACGUGCUACAAUGGCGUAUACAACGAGUUGCCAACCUGCGAAGGUGAGCUAAUCUCUUAAAGUACGUCUCAGUUCGGACUGCAGUCUGCAACUCGACUGCACGAAGUCGGAAUCGCUAGUAAUCGCGGAUCAGCACGCCGCGGUGAAUACGUUCCCGGGUCUUGUACACACCGCCCGUCACACCAUGGGAGUUUGUAAUGCCCAAAGCCGGUGGCCUAA
rnacentral:rRNA from 1 species